UAGAGAGAGUUCAAGAGUACGUGAAACUGCUUAGAGGUUAAGCCCGAUGAAACUGAAUAUCCAUUAUGGAAAAUUCAACAUUAAUAUUAUAAUAUUUAUUUAUAAAUAUUAUAAAAAUGGUGUGCAAUUUUUCCAUAUAAGGACAUUGUAAUCUGUUAAUGUAAUAAAUAUUUAUCAUAAGAUUCAAUAAUAAAAAGUUUAUUCAAAUUAGUUAUUUUCGGAUUUCUAACAUAGAAUAAAUUUUAUUGAAUUUGAUAAAUCAUUGACAGAUUUAUUUAUAUAUAGUGCUUAAAUUCUUUAUUGAAUUUUACAAUAAUUUUUAAAUGUAUUUUCAUUUAUUAAUUUAUUGUAUGCAUUUAUAUGAUUAACAAUGCUAUAGAUUCAGUAUACCUUCGGGACCCGUCUUGAAACACGACCC
rnacentral:rRNA from 1 species